UAUUUUCUAAGAUGAUAAAUAGAGAUAAAAGUACUGGCAGGGAGAUAAGGACCUAGAAGGAGGAAUUCUUUUAAACAUUGUCUUAGCUGCUUGAUGUUUUAUUUGUGCAAACAGUGUAUUUAUCCCUUGAGAGAUAAUACUAACUGAGGAGCACAAGGGUAGUAGCACCAUUAGUUAACGUGGAGGCCUGACUUAUUAGCUUUAUUACUAUAAAUACUAAUGAUUCCUGAAUAGGCUUUUUGUCUUUAACUUGAGACUCCUUCCUUCAUAACAGCUAUAUGACAACAGAGCAAGCUCUGAGGAGUGAGAUUUGAGAGCCUAGAGAAAAAAAAAAUCAAUAAAACUAAUUUGAGAACUCAUCUGAAACAAAGAAUUGUAUUCUCCAGAGACAUGAAUGGAAGAAAAGAGAAAGAGAGAGAGAGAAGAAAGUUGCCCGUGCUUCAUUCAUUUGUAAGCAUUUAUUGAGUACUUUUUAUCUUAUUAUUUUUAAACUUUUAGUGAAAAGGGGUGUAUGUGCA
rnacentral:lncRNA from 13 species